UAGAGAGAGACAUGCGCGCAUAUCAAUAAGCGGAGGAAAAGAAACUAACUAGGAUUCCCUCAGUAACGGCGAGUGAAGCGGGAAGAGCUCAAAUUUGAAAUCUUCAAGGUUCCUACCUUGACGAAUUGUAGUUUAAAGAAGUGUUUUCUGUUGGAGUUUUGGUAAAAGUUCUUUGGAAUAGGACAUCAUAGAGGGUGAGAAUCCCGUAUUUGACCAUUAUUUCCAGCUUUGUGAUACACUUUCAAAGAGUCGGAUUGUUUGGGAAUGCAGUCCAAAAUGGGUGGUAAAUUUCAUCUAAAGCUAAAUACUUGGCGAGAGACCGAUAGCGAACAAGUACCGUGAGGGAAAGAUGAAAAGAACUUUGAAAAGAGAGUUAAACAGUACGUGAAAUUGUCAAAAGGGAAGCGUUUGACACCAGUGUUGUUAUCUCGAAAAUCAAUUAAAAAAGGCAGGAUUUUGUGUUGUAUUGACUUUAUCAGCUUUCUGCACUCUUUUCUUGUCUUUUUUAAUGCACUUUUCGUUUAACAAGUCAACAUCAAUUUCUUUUGUUGUAAAAGGGUCAUUGGAAGGUGGCUUUCUUUUCGGAGAAAGUGUUUAUAGCCUUUGGCCUCUGCAAUCGGAGAGAUUGAGGUCUGCAGCGUAGAUCCUUCGGGGUUAGAUACAUUUGUGCUAAGUUAUAGCCUUUUCAUAGACAACUUGUUGACUAUGAUCAGUCAUGUAGCUUACUCGCUUAUGCUAUUUUACCUACGCUUAGGAUGUUGAUGUGAUACUGCGAGCA
rnacentral:rRNA from 1 species